UCGACCCUCCGUCGCUACUCCACCGUUGAAGACCUCCGUCGCUAAUCCACAGGAAUAAAAUAGAAACAUAUAGUACUAAUUUUGAGCUUCAAGUUUCAGCUCUAAAACCCUAAACCUCAAAUUCCAUCAAAAUUCUGGAGAAGAAAUGGCGUUUAGAUCCAAGGAAAUGAUGAAAAAGAUAGUGAAGAAUAUAGGUGGAGAGAAGAACUUGGCAUCUGGAGUUAAAGAACGGCUUGAGAAAUGCGUGCCAAAUGCAAAAGUUGUCAUGGGUCGUGCUCAGCGUGGCCUCUUCGCUGGCCGUCACAUUCAGUUUGGCAAUCGGGUCAGUGAGAAAGGUGGAAAUACGUCUAGGAGGACUUGGAAGCCUAAUGUGCAAGAGAAACGGCUUUUCAGCUACAUCCUCGAUCGCCAAAUUCGUGUGAAGGUUACAACUCAUGCCUUGCGAUGUAUUGACAAGGCAGGUGGUAUUGAUGAGUACCUGCUGAAGACACCUUACCAUGAGAUGGACACUGAAUUAGGCCUGUUCUGGAAAGCUAAGAUUGAGAAGUUGUACGAGGAGCUUGGUAAAAUGGAGGUAGUUUUCUUUACACCCGAAGAAGAAACAAAACUUGAAGAGCAAUUUAAGGAAGUGAAGUUGGAAGAAAGAGCAGCCCGUAGGGAAGCCAGAAGGAAGAUGUAUGGUUGGUCACCAAAAUCAGAGGUAAAAGCAGAUUCUGAAGGAACUGACGGAGAAGGAAGCUUACCAACUGAUUUCCAUGAAGGGAUGGUCGCCAAUGCUUGAAAACACAGAGAAAAUGUUGUUGGCUUCCAAGGUACUUGCUGAUAUGAAGGGCUUCUUUUGUUGGUCGUAGUGUCUUCGUGUUCCUGAUAUUUAUUCAUAUCCAUGAAUUUUGCCUAGCAUCUGCUUUAGUGUAAUGUUUUUCUUGCAUUUCUCUCUACAUUG
rnacentral:misc_RNA from 1 species